CAGCAAGAUACAAGUACCGUGAGGGAAAGUUGCAAAGCACUUUGAAGAGAGAGUUAAAGAGGACGUGAAACCGAUAAGGUGGAAACGGAUAGAGCUGACGUAUCUAGCCUGUAUUCAGCCGGUGGUUUGCUCACCGCUAGUCGGUCGGUCCAGCCUUUGGCUGGCUGGCUGGUGGUUGGGCUCUCUGCUGGUGCAUUUGCAGGUGGUGUGCGCUGAGGCUUGCGCCAAGCAGCGGUCGGAAAGUCGCUUUGAGGUCUCCCUUCGGGCGAGAAACCCGGGCUUCUGGAAGAUUGUUUGCUGCGCGAGUAGGCAAGUUCACGGCUAACGGUCCGAGCCGGCGGUUUGUUCUACCUGGGGUUGGAGUCGCAUGCGACUCUGCCUCGGUGGGGGCUGACCGUUGGUGAGGCCCCGUGACGUCCCUCAGUGUAAAAGUCGGUCAUCUCUCCGACCCGUCUUGAAACACGGACCAAGGAGUUUAUCGAGUGCGCGAGUCAUUGAGUGUGAAAACUCAUAGGCGUAAUGAAAGUAAAGGACUCGCUUGUCGAGCUGAUAUGCGAUCCCGGCCGUUUCGGCGGUUGGGCGCAGCAUAGCCCCGUCCCGACUGCUUGCAGUGGGGCGGAGGAAGAGCGUACUCGCUGAGACCCGAAAGAUGGUGAACUAUGCCUGAGCAGGACGAAGCCAGAGGAAACUCUGGUGGAAGUCCGAAGCGGUUCUGACGUGCAAAUCGAUCG
rnacentral:rRNA from 1 species